rnacentral:rRNA from 1 species
UACGUAGGGGGCGAGCGUUAUCCGGAUUUAUUGGGUGUAAAGGGUGCGUAGGCGGUUUAUUAAGUUUAAGAUCAAAUACCGAGGCUUAACUUCGGUCAGUCUUAAAAACUGGUAGACUUGAGUACAGUAGAGGCAAGUGGAAUUUCUAGUGUAGCGGUUAAAUGCGUAGAUAUUAGAAGGAACACCAGUGGCGAAGGCGGCUUGCUGGGCUGUCACUGACGUUGAGGCUCGAAAGCGUGGGGAGCAAACA